GGCCUACGGGGGGCAGCAGUGGGGAAUAUUGGACAAUGGGCGCAAGCCUGAUCCAGCCAUGCCGCGUGAGUGAUGAAGGCCUUAGGGUUGUAAAGCUCUUUCACCCACGACGAUGAUGACGGUAGUGGGAGAAGAAGCCCCGGCUAACUUCGUGCCAGCAGCCGCGGUAAUACGAAGGGGGCUAGCGUUGUUCGGAAUUACUGGGCGUAAAGCGCACGCAGGCGGUUCGGUCAGUCAGGAGUGAAAGCCCCGGGCUUAACCGGGGAACUGCUUUUGAUACUGCCGAGCUUGAAUCACGGAGAGGGUAGUGGAAUUCCGAGUGUAGAGGUGAAAUUCGUAGAUAUUCGGAAGAACACCAGUGGCGAAGGCGACUACCUGGCCGUCGAUUGACGCUCAUGUGCGAAAGCGUGGGGAGCAAACAGGAUUAGAUACCCGUGUAGUC
rnacentral:rRNA from 1 species